rnacentral:lncRNA from 1 species
UCGACCAGCUUUGUACCUCCAUUUCCACUUAUGCACAAACUUGGCAUUUUUGCAUAUUGGUUUCAAAGAGUAAAACAAAGAUAGCAUUUCACAAGCAGACCACAAACAGCAAUUGGCAAGGUCAUGUACAGCCUGUCCAGGCCCAAUUCGGGUACAGCUUGCACCCUCCACUUCAUUUGAACAAAAACUUAGCAAAAUGCAAAUCAUUCCAUUAGAGCUAAACCAACUUACCAUUUCUAAAACCAACUUAAAACAGACAAUAUAAAGGGGAUUUU